AUCUCUGUCUUGUUAUUAUUAGUUUAAAAAGAAAGUUUUUAAAAUGAAGAUUUUACAAUUUUCCUUAAUUGUAAUGGCAUUAAGCUUUCUUGGUGUUCAUGCUCAAAUAACACUGAAAGAAUCAGAUCCUGUAACUCUACAGCCAGGACAGUCACAUAAAUUGUCAUGUAAAGCCUCUGGAUUUACAUUCAAGGACUACUACAUGGACUGGGUUCGGCAGCCUUCUGGUAAAGGGCUAGAAUGGGUGGCACGAAUAAGCCAUGGUGGUGGUGGUAGCCAGUAUUAUGCAUCAUCUGUACAGGGAAGAUUCACCAUCAGCAGAGACGAUUCCAACAGCAUGCUGUACUUAACCAUGAACAACCUGCAGACUGCAGACACAGCCGUGUAUUACUGUGCUAGAGAGUCACAGUGA